rnacentral:ncRNA from 2 species
UGGGAAAUAAGAAUAUCCUAUGAAAAGGUUAGUAAGUGAUAUUUACAGGGGAAUCCGGUGAGACUCCGGAACUGUUCCGCAACUGUAUAGGGAGUUUUCUCAUGGCAGUUCCUUCGCACGGACAUGGGAGAGCAGGGAACCGAGUCAGAGCGCCUGAAAGAUGUAGUCCGAUCGU